CACCAGGGACAUAAACUGGGGCUGGGGGCAGAGCAGCCACAGGGCAGGAGACACUGCAAAAUGGGGUCACUGUCCCAGCUUCUCUACGGGCUCCUCAUGCUUUUGGUCCCAGGUUCCAGGGGAGAAAUUGUGCUGACCCAGUCUCCAGCCUCAGUGCCUGUGACCCCAGGAGACAGAGUCACCAUCAGCUGCAAGGCCAGUCAGAGUGUCAAACACAGUAAUGGAAACACUUAUCUACACUGGAUCCAACAGAAACCUGGACAAUCUCCUCGGGAAAUGAUUUACAAGGUUUCCCAUCUGCAUUCAGGAGUCCCUGCCCGGUUCAGUGGCAGUGGUGCUGAGAAGGAUUUCACCCUCACAAUCAGCAGUGUGGAGCCUGAGGAUGGGGCAGAUUAUUACUGUUAUCAAACAACUUCUUCUCCUGGCACAGUGUUACAUGCCCGAACAAAAACCUCCCCAGGCCUAGGCUGGCUGCAGCUGCUGGGCUGCCUGCUCAGGGGCAGGUUCUCUGGGGCUGACAUCAAAAAAGGCCAUGGUCUGGCAGCUCUGUGCCCUGAGGGCUCCUGCUCUGCUUUAGCCUUAAGUUGCUUCCCAUGA